rfam:Alteromonas confluentis strain KCTC 42603 Alteromonas_confluentis_KCTC42603_S28, whole genome shotgun sequence.
CAACUGCCGUUGGCAGACAGGGUUCAGAUUCAUGCAAAUAGCCCCGCUGGUCCGGGGCUUUUUGUUGUUUUUAAACUGAUUUGCGCGUCAUUUUUAAGCAAAUCAGGUAGUUGGGCUUUAUGCCCUUUUUUC